UUGCAAUUUUCGGGUUCUGCUUCUACUUCUGCCAGUACUGAAGAAACUAUUGAAGUUGCACCAGCAAGAGCAAGACCUCAAAGGGUGAACCAAGUUAGAAAACAAGAAAGAGUAUGACAGAAUAUGAUCCGCGUCUUGUGGCUCCAACCUGGUUGUACCUGGCAUCAAAAGCAGCAGAAAGCACAGUGCAGGUUGGGCUUCUUGUAUUUUACCUUAAAAAAUUAUAUGCUGAUGAAAAGUAUGACUCAAUUAACUUGGUGCUAUGGGCCAGGUAGUUGCCCAUCAAAGAGGGUCGCAUGGGCUAGAGAAUUGAUAGACGAAGAAGCAGAACAGUUCCUCAUGCCUCGUUUCAUUGACCCAGAUUCAGAAAGACCUUGGCUUGCCCAAAGAAUGGCCUUGACGAUACCAUAUUCUGCGUAAACUUAAUGGAAGGAGACCUGCUUAUGCUUCCCAGCAACUAAUAUAAGAGCUGCAUAAUACGUUUUAUUUUUAAGUCUUUGAUUGGUCAAGUUAUGAGAGAAUAGCAUGGUGCCUUUUGAUGUAUGAACUUCCUCUAUAGAUUGUUUGGCUUAUAUUUUGUGAACUUGUCCGAUCAA